rnacentral:lncRNA from 1 species
UCCUUCAAUUAAAUUUUGAAUCAUCUGAAAACAAAACUUGACCACUAUCGCAAGUCAUAAUACACAAAAAGACGCUACUGAAGACUUUAAAUAGCUUGACGGGAUAAAAAUGCUUAAAACGACAGGUCAGGUCGUUACACUAAAUAAUUACAUCCAAACUUGAGAUAAAACCCAAAUACACAAGCAAAUUGACAAUCACAAAAGUUAGAUAAAAUGAAUGGCAAAAGAAUUAAAAGAAGAACGCCAUAGGUGCCCCCAAGCGUUUCGCUUGUUUUCUUGCUAUUUGGUGCAUUCUAAGAAAGACGGUGUAGGAUGUGAUGACUCCAUGCUCGGGUAGUGUUGAGUCUCUAUGAGACUCCACUGCUAGAGUCUUGAAUUAAGACUCCAUUUGCUCCAAAAUGUACAUACAGAGAAUGGGAAAAGGAAAAGAAAAUUAGGGGAAGGAAUUUAAGUCUGUGAUAUACAAAAAUGGAACACACAAGACAAGUCUAUCUGCAACAACCUAGAAGCUUGAAAACAGUAGCAUACUACAUAAAAAUGAUUCUUAAAGGGAAGUAAUGAUUUAUAAUAUGAGUUAAGGGAAAAUCAAGCAAACAGGGAUACUUUCUACUACUUUACGUUAUUUAAAAAUAAAAAUGCGAGAAAAAAAAUCAUACCCAGUAAUAAGAUCUCUAAAAUAGAAUAUAUAUGAGUGCAUAUUAGUAUUCAUUAUUAGCUCAAGGGAAUGGGUCCUAAAUAAAGUGUUUUAAGCCUGAGGUCUAAAGGAAAAGUUUGACAGCAUGCGAAAUUGAAUAAACAUCUUCAAGUCCUACAAUUAUGACCUCUAGAUUUUUUCUACAAAAUAUCACUCCUACCACCUGAGAACACCAUAACGUUUUAACAAAAAAAAUCCUUUAAUUUACACAGUCCAAAAAUGAGUGAACGACGACAAAAUUAAUUAUCACGAUGACUAAUAAGUUAAAUGUGAACUGUUGAACUUAUAAGUAAGUUAUUUAGUUACGCGAUUUCAGAUAAUCAGGAUCCCCAGUAUAUUAAAAAAAUAAAAGAUUCAAUUCCAGAAUUCACUCAUAUAUAUUUAGCACUCGUUCUUAAUACAUUUUAGGAUACUUAAUCGAGAUAAGUGAAAAAGAUUAUGCCUUGUACAAUCUGAAUAACUUAAGGCUUAGUUUCAAGAGACAUAUAUUCAGUUUAUUAUCCUCAAAUUUUACAUAUAUCUUGAUCAUGUUUUGAACAUACAAACAUUUUAUAUGAGUAAGGUUCAGAACUAUCUACUAUUUAAUUUGCAAUAAACAUACGGACAACUGAAGCAUGGUCUUUAAGAAAGAGAAUCCUAGAGCAUGAUCUCUAAUGUAUGACCAAUAACUAAAGAAAAACUAGAACAUAUCAGCUAGCAAAAUUAGAUAUUGAUUUAUGCAUCAUUAACUAUCACAAGAAUACUCAAAAUACGAGGAGCAAACCAGAACUAGCAAUACGCUUAAACAGAUGAUAAAUCUUAUACAUGUUUUGACCAGAAGCAAAAAUGGGAAAAGAAGUGACCUUUUGCGGUGCAGUGAACUUGGGGCGUGCAAAUAGGUCUACUGUUUUCAGUCUAAGAUCCGCUAACUGGAACGACAGUCAAACUCCGAAAACAAAGACGGUAAUGCCUCUAUUAUAUGUUUACAGAACCAAGAGAGAAGCAAGCUUUUGGAAAGUGGUUUAAAGGAGUAAAAAUGGGAGAGGAGUAACGGCACAAGGGUCUGAAGCGGCGGAUACCAAGGUGCUGAAAAUAGUCACAAAGUCUGGUAUUUAUAGGUGUAAAAUUAGGGUUCUUGCUUCCUUUGAGCGGGAAUUUGAAAUUCGGAUUUCAAAAGAAGUCAAAUGGAUCCGUUUGAAUUUUAAUGUUGAAACCUUUUAGAUGGAUUGGAUCUUCACGUGAUUCUUCAGGGAUAUGCUUCAGGUUACACUCGAAAUGGUGAGAUAUGCUCUGCCACGUAUGGAUUUGAAGGUCAAACUUUGGCUAAAAAUGGAGAAAAAUGCCAAGAGAACUCUGCCAUAGCAGAGAAUGAAAGGGACAAUGGAGAGUGGGAAAGGGAAGGCUUCUGUUUCUGAGAGAGAAUAAGGGACCCUAGGUGAUUUUUGGAAUUGGGCUUUUGAGACUUAAAAAUAAGGGAUUUUUACGUACCUAUACCAUAUACCAAAUCUUAUUAUCUUCAUUGUUUAAGGAUUGUGUUAAUUACAUUUAAGCAUACCAAAUUACCAUUUAUAUACCAUAAUUCCUUCAUUUAUUGUAGGCGUGAUUUUAGGACCAUAUUUUCACUUUAUUUCGUUUACCCGCCUCUCUCUCCUCCCACCCCCUACGAUUUACCUUCAGUUAAUCUCCCCUCCCCCCUCCCCCACGAUUUACCUUCAGUUUUCCCCCCAUUCUCGUACAAUCUCUUCUCACCCACAAUUACCAUCACUUUCUUCUCCAUUUAAUUACCUUCAGUUGUAUCCCCCACGAUUUGAAUUCACUUCCAUCUUUGACCUCUCUUUUUUUUUGGCAGUGGUUGAAGGUUAC